rnacentral:rRNA from 1 species
UACGUAGGUGCCAAGCGUUGUCCGGAAUUACUGGGCGUAAAGAGCUCGUAGGUGGUUUGUCGCGUUGUUCGUGAAAACUCACAGCUCAACUGUGGGCGUGCGGGCGAUACGGGCAGACUUGAGUACUGCAGGGGAGACUGGAAUUCCUGGUGUAGCGGUGGAAUGCGCAGAUAUCAGGAGGAACACCGGUGGCGAAGGCGGGUCUCUGGGCAGUAACUGACGCUGAGGAGCGAAAGCGUGGGGAGCGAACAGG